AUUGAACGCUGGCGGCAGGCCUAACACAUGCAAGUCGAGCGAGCGGCGGACGGGUGAGUAAUGUCUGGGAAACUGCCUGAUGGAGGGGGAUAACUAAUGGAAACGGUAGCUAAUACCGCAUACCAUCAGAUGUGCCCAGAUGGGAUUAGCUAGUAGGUGGGGUAACGGCUCACCUAGGCGACGAUCCCGAGCUGGUCUGAGAGGAUGACCAGCCAGCCUGGAAAUGUGACCCCGUCGAGACCCCUCCGGGAGGCAGCAUUUGGGAAUAUUGCACAAUGGGCGCAAGCCGGAUGCAGCCAUGCCGCGUGUUUGAAGAAGGCCUUCGGGUUGUAAAGCACUUUCAGCGGGGAGGCGUUACCCGCAGAAGAAGCACCGGCUAACUCCGUGCCAGCAGCCGCGGUAAUUC
rnacentral:rRNA from 1 species